UGUACUUAUUUAAUGUAGUUUACAGUAAGGUGUUGUACUUAUUUAAUGUAGUUUACAGUAAGGUGUGGUACUUAUUUAAUGUAGUUUACAGUACGGUGUUGUACUUAUUUAAUGUAGUUUACAGUAAGGUGUGGUACUUAUUUAAUGUAGUUUACAGUAAGGUGUUGUACUUAUUUAAUGUAGUUUACAGUAAGGUGUUGUACUUAUUUAAUGUAGUUUACAGUAAGGUGUUGUACUUAUUUAAUGUAGUUUACAGUACGGUGUUGUACUUAUUUAAUGUAGUUUACAGUAAGGUGUGGUACUUAUUUAAUGUAGUUUACAGUAAGGUGUUGUACUUAUUUAAUGUAGUUUACAGUAAGGUGUUGUACUUAUUUAAUGUAGUUUACAGUACGGUGUUGUACUUAUUUAAUGUAGUUUACAGUAAGGUGUGGUACUUAUUUAAUGUUGUGCUGGUACAUCAACCAUUCAAUUUCCAGGGUUUCAUUCAAGUAGAUUAGCUACUAAUCUAUGUUUUUUUUAAAAGGGCUUUAUAACUACAGUUGAUUGAUUGAUUGAUUAGCUGCGUUGUUUCAAAGCUUCCACUGAAAAUAUGGUGAGCAAAGAACCGUUAGGCUCACAGAGGUGAAAUGUCUGUUCAUUCCCGUCAACAAAGGCAAACAUAUUAAAAUAGUCAUUCUAUAAAAACACUUAAAUCAAAUAGAGUUGAAUGUCUUUAUCAACUAUUUAGUCAAAGGCUGGUUUAACGACACCUCCCUCCCUAAUACAACAUAUACCUCAAUCCAUGCUGUGCCUUCUGGCAGGGUCACAUUCAUUAGGGCAACGUUUUAAAACGUUUAUUUUUUAUUUUUUAAAUGACUGUUACUUAUUGGACGAGUCCGGGUAGUCCCUCCAUGUUUCAGACCGUUUCACUUCCGUUUGGUGCCUAAUGAACACGACCCAGUUUGUUUUACCUCAUUGAGCUCAUGGGAAGCUACAUGUUGCAUACCUUUAGCAGACGUGAGGGGGAACAAAUGGCUUUUUAUUGCUCAGGAGAGGACGAGGUAAAUAUUUGAUGCAUAAGUGUUUACGUACCAACGUCCGGCACUCAUGGAUGUGUUUAAUCUGUACCAAAACUCUCGUUAUUCUGGCAACUAGUAGUAGAGCACCAGAGGAGGCUGGUGGUAGGAGCUAUAGGAGGAUGGGCUCGUCGUAAUCGCUGGAAUGGGAUUCAUGGAACGGUUCAAAACACAUCAAACACAUAGAAACUAAGCGUUUGACUCCGUUCCGUUUAUUCCAUUUCAGUCAUUACAACGAGCCCCAUCCUCUAAUAGCUUCUCCCACCAGCCGCCUCUGUAUAGCACUCUGUCAGAGCACCUAGUACAUAAAACUCCCACAGCAAUUCACUAAACCAGCGAGUCUUACAAAAUGCAUAGAAGACCAGUAUCAAAAUGCCCUUGUAGUCAGUCUCCUGAAAACUCAACAACAUAGGCUUGCGUCUAAAAUGGCACCCUAUUCCCUAUGUAGUGCACUACUUUAGACCAGGGCCCUAUGGCACUCUAUUCCCUAUGUAGUGCACUACUUUAGACCAGGGCCCUAUGGGGAAAAGGGAACCAUUUUAGACAUGCACAUAGCUUACAACAAUUCAUAUUUAGCAACAGGCAAGUCACCAGAGCAAAAUAUGGGAGGAGAGGAUGAGGGGAGGGAGGAUUAGGGGAGGAGGGAGGGAGGAGGAGAGGAUGAGGGGAGGGAGGAUUAGGGGAGGGAGGAUUAUGGGAGGAGGAGGAGAGGAUUAGGGGAGGAGGGAGGGAGGAGGAGAGGAUGAGGGGAGGGAGGAUUAGGGGAGGAGAGAGGGAGGAGGAGAGGAUGAGGUGAGGGAGGAUUAGGGGAGGGAGGAUUAGGGGAGGAGAGGAGGAGAGGAUUAGGGGAGGAGGGAGGGAGGAUUAGGGGAGGAGGGAGGAUUAGGGGAGGAGGGAGGGAGGAUUAGGGGAGGAGGGAGGGAGGAUUAGGGGAGGAGGAGAGGAUGAGGGGAGGAGGAGAGGAUUAGGGGAGGGAGGAUUAGGGGAGGAGGGAGGGAGGAUUAGGGGAGGAGGGAGGGAGGAUUAGGGGAGGAGGGAGGAAGGGGAGGAGGGAGGAAGGGGAGGAGAGGAGAGGAUUAGGGGAGGAGAGAGGGAGGAUUAGGGGAGGAGGAGGGGAGGAUGGAGGGAGGAUUAGGGGAGGAGGGAGGAAGUGGAGGAGAGGAUUAGGGG
ensembl:lncRNA